rnacentral:lncRNA from 1 species
GUGUGAUCAUGUAUGCAAUGUUGGUUGGUAAAUUGCCUUUCACAACAGCCUAUACAGACCAGUAUAGACGCCAGAAGUUAUUCCAACAAAUAGAGCGAGGUCUGGUAGAAAUCCAUGAGAGAGAAAUGAUCCACCUGACAAAAGGUACACAAAAUAAUUAGGUCAACAUACUAAAUCAAUGUCAUUUGAACUCACUGUGAGCACAAAAUAAUUAGGUCAACAUACUAAAUCUGUGUCAUUUAGACUCACUGUGAACACAACAUAUCUAGGUCAACAUACUAAAUCUGUCAUUUUAGACUCAGUGAAAAACAUAUCUAGGAAUACUAAAUCUGUGUAAUUUAGCUUUGGCACAACUUAACUAAGUCAACAUUACUAAUCUGUGUCUAGACUUACUGUGAGCAAACAUAUUAGGUAACAUCUAUCUGUGUCAUUUAGACUUACUGUAAGCACAACAUACUAGACAUUAAAUCGCAUGCCUUGACUCACUGUGAGCAAACAUAUCUAGGUCAACUGCUAAAUCAAUUAGCCUCACUGAGCACAACAUAAAAGUCAUACUAAAUGUGUCAAAACUCACUGUAAGCAGAACCUAUCUAGUUACUUAAUCUGUGUCAUUUAGAUCACAGACAAAAUAAUUUAGGUCACAUCACUAACUCGUGUCUUAGAUCACUGUGAGUUUAUCUGUCAGGCUCACGCUUAUAAAUGUCAAACUCAUAUAAUUAGGUCAACAUACUAAAUCUGUGUCAUUUAGACUCACAAAUAAUUAGGUAAACAUACUUAAUCUGUGUCAUUUAGAACUCACUGUGAGCACAUCUCAACAUACAAUCUGUGUCAUUUAUGACACUAGGUCAACAUACUAAAUCUGUGUCAUUUAGACUCACUGUGAUCACAACAUAUCUAGGUCAACACACUAAAUCUGUGUCAUUUAGACUCACUGCGAGCACAACAUCUAGGUCAACAUACUAAAUCUGUGUCAUUUGAAACCUAUAUAGUCUACGUCAACAUACUCUAGUAAAACUGUUUAAAUGGUUCACUAGAUCUGUGUCAUUUAGAUAGUUUAGGUCAACAUACUAAAUCUGUGUUUACAUUGUUACUAAACCAAAUAUGAGCAAUUCUAGAGUCAAAUCGAGUUAGGUCCAAUCUGUGGAAUUAACUAGGACAGGACUCAGUGAGCCUAGGUCAACUACUUAAUUUACUCACUGUGAGCAUACAACAUAACUAGCCAUUGUUCAAAAUAAAACAUACUAAAUCUGUGUCAUUUAGACUCACUGUGAGCACAAAACAACUAGGUCACAUACUAAUCUUGUGUCAUUUAGACACACUGUAAGCACAUAAUCUAUCAACAUACUAUCUAGACUCACGUCAUAAGGUCAACAUACUAAUCUGUGUCAUUAGAUCACUCACUGUGAGCACAACAUAUCUAGGUCAACAUACUAAAUCUAUGUGUUUAGACUCACUGUGAGACAAAUAAAUAGGUCAAAUAUAAAUCUGUGUAUUUAGACUCACUGUGACCACAAGAUAUUAGGUCAACAUACUAAAAUCUGUGUCAUUUGGACUCACUGUGCACAACAGCAACAACAUUUUAACUUAGGUCAACAUACUAAAUCUGUGUCAUUUAGACUCACUGUGAGCACAACAUAACUAGGUCAACAUACUAAAUCUGUGUCAUUUAGACUCACAAUGACUCUUUGUUAUAUUUGGCUUUAUGUCUCUGAUGUUUAGUAACCCUGCUUUUAUAAACAAUGUUCUCCAAAGAAAAUGUAUUGUACAAUAACAAUUUCCGUGGGGCAAUAUUGUUUUUUUUAAUAACCGUAGUUCAUGCUUAGACAAACAAAUUAAAAGAUUGUUUUUACUCAAAAAGUUGACACAAUUAAACAAAUACUGUAUAGUUUUUUUAUGAAGUUUAAAUUUUCGCUUAUUUUUGCGUAUAGAACAAAAUUGCAAAAUAUUUUGUAUACCUUAUUCAAUGAAAACCUUGAAAUUUAACACCUUCGAAAAUAACCUGCUAUUUGGUAUGUAAUUGAUAAAAUAAACAAUUCACACUUGUACUGACAAAAUAUAUAAUUUAAAUCAUAGUGGAAUGAAAUCACUGUUUUCAUUAGUGUGGCUUUCCUCUGGGACUGACACCAACAGAGGGGUAGAAAUUUAAAAAUAUUUAACUUAUCUUAGUGCACAUUGCAAUGUUUCUAGAAGGACUUCAUCUCAAAAAUUUGAUUUCAACACAAAAGACACAUUGCGUUUAUCUAUAACAUCAAAUUAACUGUACAAGUGCAAAAUGGAUGAACAUUUUAAAAAAGGUAAAAGAGAUAUACAUUAGAGAAAAAAGAUGACUAGUUUCACUGUGUGUGUACAUAACUUGUAAGAUUUUACUUCCUUUAGACUUCCAAAUAAUCAGAACCAUGCAAUUAUUUUGUACUGUUUAAAAACUUCCAUUUGUUUUUUAGCUCACCUGGCCUAAAAGGCCAAGUGAGCUUUUCUUAUCACUUGGCAUCCGGCGUUCGGCGGCCGUCGUCGUUAACUUUUACAAAAAUCUUCUCCUCUGAAACUAUUGGGCCAAAUCAAACCAAACUUGGCCACAAUCAUUAUUGGGGUAUUUAGUUUAAAAAAUGUGUCCGGUGACCCGGCCAACCAACCAAGAUGGCCGCCAUGGCUAAAAAUAGAACAUAGGGGUAAAAUGCAGUUUUUGGCUUAUAACUCAAAAACCAAAGCAUUUAGAGCAAAUCUGACAUGAGUAAAAUUGUUAAUCAGAAAAUUGUUAAUCAGGUCAAGAUCUAUCUGCCCUGAAAUUUUCAGAUGAAUCGAACAACCCGUUGUUGGGUUGCUGCCCCUAAAUUGACAAUUUUAAGGAAAUUUUACUGUUUUUGGUUAUUAUCUUGAAUAUUAUUAUAAAUAGAGAUAAACUGUAAACAGCAAUAAUGUUCAGCAAAGUAAGAUUUACAAAACGGUCAACAUAACCGAAAUGGUCAGUUGACCCCUUUAGGAGUUAUUGCCCUCUAUAGUCAAUUUUUAAACAUUUUUCGUAAAUCUUAGUUAUCUUUUACAAAAAUCUUUUUCUCUGAAACUACUGGUCCAAAUUAAUCCAAACUUGGCCAAAAUCAUCAUUGGGGUAUCUAGUUUAAAAAAUGUGUGGCGUGACCCUGCCAACCAACCAAAAUGGCCACCAUAGCUAAAAAUAGAACAUAGGGGUAAAAUGUAGAUUUUGGCUUAUAUCUCUGAAACCAAAGUAUUUAAAUCUGACAGGAAUAAAUUGUUUAUCAGGUCAAGAUCUAUCUGCCCUGAAAUUUUCAGACAAAACAGACACCCUGUUGUUGGGUUGCUGCCCCAGAAUUAGUAAUUUUAAGGAAAUUUUGCAGUUUUUGGUUAUUAUCUUGAAUAUUAUAAUAGAUAGAGAUAAACUGUAAACAGCAAUAAUGUUCAGCAAAGUAAGAUCUACAAAUAAGUCAACAUGACCAAAAUUGUCAAGUUACCCCUUAAGGAGUUAUUGCCCUUUAUAGUCAUUUUUUAACAAUUUUCAUAAAUUUUUGUAAAUUUGUAGAAUAUAUUUUCCACUGUAAUUACUGGGCCAAGUUCAUUAUAGAUAGAGAUAACUGUAGCAAGAAGAAUGUCCAGUAAAGUAAGAUCUACAAACACAUGAUCACCAAAACACAAUUUUGUCAUGAAUUUACUGUGUCCAUUGUUUAAUAUGCACAUAGACCAAGGUGAGCGACACAGGCUCUUGAGAGCCUCUAGUUUUAUUUUGUACAACAAACAUUUUUUUUAUUGAUUCCAUUAUUUUGGUUGUGUAUGAAUAACCAAACAAUAUAUGUGUAAGCACUCCUGUGCUGGUCAUAUCAUAUUUUCAAUUUAUAUUUUGUGAAAACUUAGUGGAACUAGUGUCAUAAUUUUUAAAAAUACAUGAAAAGAGAGAUAACUCUGUUUGGCUUCUUUUUUCUAGAUUGUAAAAAUUUGCUCAAAAAGUUGUUAGAACCCUCUAGUGAUCUUCGUCUUCCAUUACUGGAUGUAGAAAUUCAUCCAUGGGUGACACAGGGAGUAAAGUCGUCUUUCCAUACCUUCCACAAAUAUCCUAAAGAUAAAACCAUGAAAUCACAGGUAAGUAGUUGUAGCAGUAAAUCAGUUAAAAAAAAAAUAGUGAGUGAAUUGACGUGGUUGAAACUUUCAUGAAAACAAAAGGGUAUUUGCUAUUUCAUACAUGGCAGGUAAACAUAUAUCUAUCUAAUCAUAUGAAAAUAGAAAAAAAAUUUGUCCUAAAUUUUUUUGUAAACAAAUUUAGAGAUUACAGAUAGUCAGCAGAGAUAUAUACACAGCAUUUUUUUAAAAAUAUAAAUUGGUACAAAUUGGUACAUUUUGGCCAUGAAAAUUGAAAAUGAAUAUAUAAUUCAUGACCAGUAGGGUCGUCAUAAGCCAGGUUUUUUUUCUUGAAAGGCAUAAGAAAUCAAAGUCAUGGACUAAAGCAAUAUAGAGCCCCAUAGUAUUCUAGAUACAUUUCAAGUCAAAAACCUAUAUUGAACAUUAUACUACCAAUAUGUCAUGACACCAAAUUAGAUGUUGUGCUGUAUUUAACAUAUUAUCAGCAAAUAAAUGAUUGUAGAAUUUUUUGGUAAAUUAAAAUAUAUGCCGUUGUGGCUUACAAAUACUUAUAGAAUACUUAUAGAUUUAAGAUAUCUCUAUUUUAAACAAUUGCUCUGCAAUGAUCAACCGUAGAAAUUUAUAUGAAUACAAUCAUUUUAUUCUUUGAUAGGAUUCACUUCUGUAUGAUUCACUAGAAAAUGAGGUAAUGCUAAUACCUGCAAGUUUUGAUGUUAAAACAAUUAUUGUCAAAUUCUUUGUAAAACUCUCCAAUACCUAGGCAUGGCCAUUUUUGUUCAUCAAUGUGAAAAGAUUUAUUUUCACAAUGGUUUUUGCUGAUGUUUGUUGAAUGGAAUUUAAAAUCUUUUAUUUUAAAGCUUUUUUUUUUUAAAGAAAAAUUCAGAAGAAGCUCUGAAACCAUCAACACUUUACCCUAAAAAUAUCAACGGCACCAAGCCUUUUAACAUGUCAAAUGUCCUUGUUUAGAUAUUUUACUGUGAUAAUGUUUUGCCAAAUACAUUAAGUUAAAUUUUUAUAAAUAUAGUUUUAAGAUAUAAAAAUUAAAUAAGGAAGAAACAAAAGGUGAAAUCAAAUGAAAAAAAUAAGGAAAUAUAUUGCAUUUGCUCACUGUGAAUUCGUUAUUAUUUGUUGGUUAUUAAUUUUUGUUGGUUACUGGGUACAGGUGAACCCAGAAUUCAAAUGUUUAAAUCAAAUAUCCAUGAAUAUGCAAGUUUUCAUCAAUCCACGAAAAUUGAUGCCCGUGAAAAAUAAUUGAAUCUAAGAUAAAAUUGAGAAUGGAAAUGGGAGUAUUUAGAAGAAUUAUCUGGUAAUUUUUAGUGAGUGUUUUCUAUUUAAAAAAGGGAAAGAUAUUUAAAAACAGCUUACCAGACACACAGUAUUUGAUUGGGCAAAAUAAAAAAUUGAAUAUUCAUUUUAAAUUUACAUUUAGAUCUUAGUUUUUACCGUAAUUGAUUUUGAAUUAUGUGAUGUUGGGUGUAAGCAAUUGAAAUCAAACACUUUCACUAAUCAAACACAAUAAUUUUGGAAAGUUCCCUUUUUUGCAUGGUACAUAUAGAAUGUGAAUGUGUACAGAAAGUAAAACAAGAAAUAACACUUAGUUCAGUUCAAGAUAAUGCUACACAUUAGUUUUUUUUGCAUGUAAACAUUUUUUAGAGAGGCAAUGGACUUUUCUCAGUCUCUCUUAUGUUUUACUCUUCUGUUAUGCAUUGGUCUGCUUGGUUUAGUUUGUAUGUGGUAUAUGACAGGAAAUAACCUUAGAUCUUUGUGUUAUGUAACAGAGGUUUAUAGUAAUGGCUUAAUGGUGAAAGAAUAGAGUUAGUUAAUAGUCCAUUUGCCAAUUACUGAUUUAAUUCAGUUAUUACACACUUUUUAAACAAAUUACUUCCCUUUAUCAAUCGUAGACUGGUUCUAUAUUGGACAAAAUUGGCUUUUGCAAAUGUAAUGCAUGAUAAGUUGAAAGUGAUGUAUCAGCAGUUUAUCUAACUUUUUUAAUUUAAACAAAUUAAUGUAAUUAAUAGAUUUGAAAAACUUUAAGGUUACUCACAUUACGCACAGGUAAAUUUGCUCUUUCUUCUAGCUCUCCAUUGUCAAUAAAAAUUUAUGUCCCUCAUCAGCGAGACAACAAAAAAAGGGAUCUCUAAUUACAGGGUCAAUUAAGGGAAUUGGCAAAUAGACUAUUGGAGGAAAAAUAGCAUGCCAUUUUAUUUAUGGAUAAUUUGAGAUGUCCAUCAUUAGAGACCAGGUUGCUGUCUUGAAUGAAUUUGUGUUUUACUCAUUAGUAAUGUCAAGUGAUUAAUCUAUUGAUUAAUUACAAUGAUUGGCAUGAAUAAAGUUUGAUGGUUUUUUCCUAAUUUUGUCAUGUCGUGGCCUUUUAUAACUUACCAUGCAAACGUACAGUAAAUGGUUAUAUAGUGACCUAUACUAUAGUUGUUUACAUCCUAUAUAGUGACCUAUACUAUAGUUGUUUACAUCCUAUAUAGUGACCUAUACUAUAGUUGUUUACAUCCAUGUUCUUUGGUCACUGGUGGAUAGAGGCUCAUUGGUGAUACCUACUUUUAUAAUGAACAAACUUAAUUCUAUAUAAAUUUGAAAAUGGCCAUUCUUAGAAAAUUUGCACAAUGAUUUGACCUUUUUCGCUUUAUUAAUACACAACUGUUUUCAAAACAAAAUUAUAAAUGCUUAGAUAUCACAUUGAAAUAUUGCUUUCACAUUUUUGCUCACUUAACUUUAGAACCAUCAUGAACAAAGGUGGAUGUUAAUAUAUUUGUACAGUAACAUUGCUAUCAAAGCAUUACUAGGGUCAUAUAACAACACUUCUUUAUUCACAUUCACAGACAUAGAUUUAGAUAUAGAAAACUAGUAUUGUGAGGCAUUUUUUUCUGAAUACAAAAUUAUUUGAGAAAUUGACUCACUUGUUAAAGAGCUACAACUAAAAUCAUAUGUGUGUCUACUAAUUUUCUUGCAACUGCUAACUUCAAUUUGAAUUUGAUCUAAAUCUAUUUAAACAGUUAGGUGAUAAAUGCAUGCUAUAACUGAAUAUUUGUAGUUGGAUAGAAUAGUUUCAUGGCUGCAUUAGAAUAGAAAGGGCAGUAUAUAUUACAAUUUAUUUUAGCACCAGUUGCCAACUAGCUUUUUUAUAGAUUGUUAGUAGAUUAAUUACAGUUUUCAGAAGAUAGAUGGCUGUAAAUUUUAAAUGUGUUAAUAAAUAGAUGUACCAAGAAUGUUUGACUUUAUUUUGAUUUGGUAUAGAUUAUAGCAUGAUUAGAAUAUUAGAUAGUACUGGUAUGUAUGAAUAAAUUCACAAGUGUGGAAUUUUUAAAACAAAAGUUGCUGUCGCCAAAUAACAGAUAUGCUUUAUCCAAAUGACUAAUUUACACAAUUUUCAUGUUUUAAGGUGAUAGAAGAGUUAUCUUCCUUGCUACAGAUGAAAAAGGAAGAGGUGGAGACAACAGUUCAUGAGAGUAAAUGUGAUCAAAUAUCAGCCAUGUUUAAUAUGAUGAUGGACUGUAAGAGAGAAGAAAAAGGUACACUGUUUGAAAACUUGUGUAGAAUAUCUCACUUUGAAAGUGUUUUAGGGCUUAAAAAUGGAAAAAAAGGCCUCAGUGGUUGAUUGGUGUAAGUAGUUGCUACUGUAAUCACUAGCCAGUCAACAAUGAGGUUGUGAGUUAAAACCCCAGUCAAUCCCUGGCACUCCAAUCUUAAUUGACUAGGAUAGUUAGUUUUCCUACCGAAGGUCUGUACUUUUCUCCGAGCAUUUUGGCUUCCUCCACCAAUAAAAAUGGCCUUCCCGAAAAAUAGCCCAAAAGCGGUGCUUAAAAGUGGCUUUAAAACACCCCCAUAAAUGUUAUUAAAAUAACAAAAAUGGAAAAGCUCCAAUCUUCUGUCUAUUUUCAACUGUAUUUAUGAUGAUUGAUUAAUUGUUAAAGUGUUGAAUGAAUCUUUACAUAAUCUGAGGGAGCCAGAGAGAAUCAUGACCUUAGACAAUUCUAGUUGAUAAAGAUUAGAUUCAAACACACACACUAUGAGCAGAGUUCAAACUAGCAACCAUUCAUUAUUUAUCAAUGAGAUAUUUUCUCAUUUAUUUCAAGUUUUUGGUAAGGCAAACUGUUUUAGGUAAAUACAUUUUUGUCGAGCCUUUCGACUUUAGUCGAAAAAGCGAGACUAAGCGAUCCUACAUUCCGUCGGCGUCGGCGUCGUCGGCGGCGUCAACAAAUAUUCACUCUGUGGUUAAAGUUUUUGAAAUUUUAACAACUUUCUUAAACUAUACUGGAUUCCUACCAAACCUUGACAGGAGCUUGUUUAUGAUCAUAAGAUAGUAUCCAGAAGUAAAUUUUGUAAAAAGAAAAUUCCAUUUUUCCCGUAUUUUACUUUAAAUGGACUUAGUUUUUUCUGCGGGGAAACAAAACAUUCACUCUGUGGUUAAAGUUUUUAGAAUUUUAAUAACUUUCUCCAACUAUCCUGGGUUUGUACCAAACUUAAACAGAAGCUUGUUUAUGAUCAUAAGAUAGUAUCCAGAAGUAAAUUUUGUAAAAAUAAAAUUCCAUUUUUUCCGUAUUUUACUUAUAAAUGGACUUAGUUUUUUCUGUGGGGAAACAUUACAUUCACUCUGUGGUUAAAGUUUUUUAAAAUUUUAAUAACUUUCAUAAACUAUCCUGGGUUUGUACAAAACUUGGACAGAAGCUUGUUUAUGAUCAUAAGAUAGUAUCCAAAAGUAAAUUUUGUAAAUAAAUAAAUCCAUUUUUUCCAUAUUUGACUUUUAAAUGGACUUAGUUUUUCUGUGGAGGAACUAUUACAUUCACUCUGGUUAAAGUUUUUAAAAUUUUAAUAACUUUCUUAAACUAUCCUGGUUUUGUACCAAACUUGGACAGAAGCUUAUUUAUGAUCAUAAGAUUGUAUUCAGAAGUAAAGUUUGUAAAAAGAUUACUCUGUUUUUCUGUAAUUUACUUUUAAAUGGUAAAAUAAAAUAGUAAAAAGAGGAAUAUUUUUAUAGAUUUUUUUCCUCAUUGUUGUUUAGCCUGUGAUUUAUAGCAAAAAAAGGCGAGACACUGGGUUCCGCGGAACCCUUACAAAUUUUUGUAGAAACUGUUGCUUUAAUAUGACGGAAGACAAAUAAACCAUGAAAUAAAUUUUGCUCUCAUAACACCAAAAGAUGUAGUGAUGAAUUCGAUAAAUAUAUAAUGUAUAAACCUGUUUUUGAUAUUUUAGGUAUUUUUGAUAUUGAUUAUACUGUGUACCAAAUGCCACCACCAGAGAAGAAAACAAAACGAAAGAAAAAACAUCAUUCACAUUCAAAAUCAGAGAGAGAAGUACAAAAAGGUAAAAGGUCACGAUAGGAGCACCACUAUAUAAAGAAUCUAUCUGUAUGUUAUAGAAUUAGUUAGAAAUACUGUGAAAUGUCCUACUCUAUAUAUUUUUAUCAGGAAUUAUAUAAAGUCAAAUGAAAGACAAAGUUUCUUCAGCAAUGAAAUUAUUUAACUAAUAAUUUGAAUGAACUUUCUAGUUGGAAAAGACAUUAAACAGAGAAAUCUUUGAUUGGGUAGUUUUAUAAACCUGAUAAGACUUAACAAUAUACUGAAUCGGACAUUGCAUCUAACUCACAAAGAAGAUGAAUACUCAGUAAUAUGAUAAAAACCCUUACUCUAAUUGGCUACACAAGGUGUCUAAAACUUUUGAAAAUAAGGAGAUCUUGUAGUAUGAUUUCUAAUAAAAAAAUAAAGAGAUAUGAUAUGAUUUUCAAUAAUGUAAUAGCUCACCAAGGACCAAAAGCAUACAGAUAUAAAGAAGUGCUAUUUACCAUAGGCCUUCAAUAAUCUGCUUAAAGCCUUGGGAUACAAUUUUGAGCCCUUAACUCCCCUAACUUGUGACAGUUGUUUAACCGGACAACAUCAUAAGAAAAGUAUAAGAGUUAAUUGACAAUUGCUUGACUCGUCAGUGUCAGGCUCAAGCUCAAAAACAACUUACAAAAUUUUGAAAUUUUAAGUAAUUUCUGCUUGUCAAGAGUGUACUUAAGUUUUGAACCUGUAAUAAAAGCCUUUAUAUGUUAAUCAUUGAAUCACUAGGUUGUGCUUGAAAACUUAAAAUGCUGUAAUAAGGUUGACUUACUUUAAAUAUUUCUUGAUUUAAGUCUUGUAAAAUACCUGUUUUUCAGAAUCAGAAGUUCAUGGAGAUGAAGGACAUGAUGAGGAACAUAAGAAACCUGAAGGUGAACAACACAGAGUCAGCACUGCGUUUGAUUUUAUGGCUAUUUGUAGUGCUCCAACAUGGCUAGGGCAGGAAAGACGUAGAUCCAGGAGAAGAAAGUCAUAUUUUCCUCAGCCUUCACCACUAGCUAUGAAUGUAAGCUAAGUAGCAUCUGUUAUAAUAACAGAAGAACCUGAUAAAUUAUCUUGAAAAACUCGUUUUCGUAGCAACAUAGUUGUGUUGACACAUCAUAAAACUGCUGUCAAUCAAUCAAUCAUAAACCUGCUUAGAAUGUGGGUAGGGGGAAUUGUUGAUGAUACUUUUAUGGGAGAUAACUCUAUCAAUGUGGUUGAACACAUUCAUAUACAUUUGGCAGAAACAUAUGUGAUGAAUUUUUAGUUUUUGUCUAAUUUUACAGGAAAUUGAACCUUUUUCUUUUCGGGGUGAAUUGAAAAUGGUAAGGCAUGAUUGUUCAUAAAAAUGCUUAAUUUAAGAAGCAGUGAUAUCAUAAUCGAGGAGGAGGAUCAAAAGAAGAAAAAGGUAAAACAAGUUGCAAAAUAUUCCUUGAUUUCUGGACAAAUAUUUAUCUAAAAGUAAGAAUUGCAAUUGUUCCUGGCUUUUGCCUUUCAAAUUUAUUGGAAAUUCCUAAAACUUUGCAGAGUUUUGCAGACACAUAAUGAAUUUUGUGUACUGAUAAAGUCAGUGGUAGAAAAUGUUCUCAAUGGAAUUACAUAAUAGAGUGUAUAAGAUAAUUCAAUAUAUACUAAUGUAUCUAAAAGACUUAUUAGAUAAGCAGGAUAUCAAAUUGUUCAUGAAAAUUCUGUUAUUUAUUCAAUUCUGAUAUCAUAUUGCUGAUAAGGUAACAACUUUUAUCAAUGUUUAUCAUGAUUGUGUUCUGGCUUCUAGAAUGAAUGAUUAUAUUUCAUUAUAUACAAAAAUGAAAUAACUAUAGGGAUAACAUUUUUGUGAGAAGAAUAGUAACAUUUUGUAAUUAGUUUAAAUGAUUUAUCAAGAUAUCAGCUUGUUUAUGGAAUUAAAAAGAAAUCAGAAACUAAUCAAUUUACUAACUGAGGUUAACAAAUAACCUGUUACGUUGCUGUGCAUAGAAGAUGAAGUCAAACAAAUCAAUACUUUAUAAAGGAGUAGGGGCAAUAAGGCCCUUAUUCGGGCCAAAAAUUACUGCAAAUUUAAAAGUUAUCAUACAUAUUAUUAAAUAACUGAAAACUUGACUUAGGUACAAGGUAUUCAUAAAAAGGUACAAAGUAUUCAUAAAAAAAAAAAAAAAAAAAAAAACAAGUUACCAUGGCAACAAAUCAUGACUUUAUUUGCAUAUUUUGUAAAACUUCGUGAUUUUCCUUGUUUUUCAUCAAAUUCCAUGCCAAAAUUUUAACUUCAAUCCCUGAUGACGUUAUACAUCCCCUUUCUACUAGACUGAGAAAAAAACAUAUCACUUGAGUGGCAUGAUUUGAAAAUUUCUACACUAAAAAGAUCAAAGCAAAAUUUCAGAAAAUAUCUAUAAAUAAUGGCAACUUUUUCUUGAUUAUUGUUUUUACAACUUUUUAAUUAAUGUUUAAUGACCUUUUAUUUACAGAACCCAGAUGCUUCAUCAGAAGAUGUGGCAGGAAAUGCUGUAGGG